AUUCCUAUGCUAUUUGAAUGAGUAUGCAUGCUUAAGUAUGUGAUUACAUUCAUGGUCAAAAAUAUUAAAUUUAGAGGUAUUUUAAUGUAUAUGUGCAAUUUUUAUUGAGUCUUGUGCGCUACAUUUUUAUAUUUUUUAACAAAAUAGUGCAAGAAACGAGAUGUCCAGUUUUUGACAAUCCGACUUAGCACGGUAUAGGUUAGAGUAGAGGAAUAUUUACAAGGUGGUCAUUAAGAUACCAGGGGAUCAUUCAUCCACGUAUUGCAUGUAAUAGGACUAAAGAUACAAUAAUAUUGCCUAAUUACGCAAAUGUACUGGUUUGCUUUGUUUCAUUAGUAGUGCAUGAGUGCUUGACAAUACGGCAUGACAUGGUGCGUAUCAUUCUCAUUGCAAAGUAAUAUCUAUCUAUUUACCGCUGUAAGAGGAGCAUAUAAUACAGUUUUAUUAAUAAAUAAUUAAAUUGCAGCCAAAAUCAAAUGUUUGAUAUACUUAACAUUAUUUGGUAAAUAGUUUUGUGUAUUAAAGGUAUAUUACUAUCGCUGUGAAAUCUAUUUACAUCUACCAUUUCUACAGCCUCCAAUUGAUUUCAGCGGUUCUCAUCACCUUAAUUGAAUGAAACGAAACAACGAUACGCUUGUCUCAUAACUAAGGUCAAAUAGUUAUUUGUAACAUUUGACAGGUGAUGGUUAGAGAGAAAAAUAUUUGGAAAUUGAAUGCAGUUACUUUCUUACAAGACAUAUCUGGAACAUUUAUUCAGACAUUCAUGAGGAAAUUAGAAGCAAAAAAUUAUGGAGCAGAAAAGUUGAAUAGAUACAUUAAAGAUAUUUUCCAGCAUGGAAUGAAAUAGUAGGACAUAUAACAAAAACGUACUAUGCAAACAGAUACAAUUAUUUUCUUGCAUGAUAUAUCUGGAAAUAUGUUUAAGCAUUUAUUCAGAAUGAGGAAAUUACAACAAAGAAUUUAUGGAGUAGAAGAAUUUGAUAGAUAUAGUGAACAAAUUAUCCAAAGAGGAUUAUAAAAUUAGAUAAGUUUGUUUUCCAAAUCAUCGACUAUAAAAACAAUGUAAUGCCAGCAUAUUUUAAGUAAAUAAAUUAAUAGGAUAAAAUGAAA